rnacentral:rRNA from 1 species
AGCCAGACUCCUACGGGAGGCAGCAGUGGGGAAUAUUGCACAAUGGGGGAAACCCUGAUGCAGCGACGCCGCGUGAGCGAUGAAGUAUUUCGGUAUGUAAAGCUCUAUCAGCAGGGAAGAAGAUGACGGUACCUGGCUAAGAAGCCCCGGCUAACUACGUGCCAGCAGCCGCGGUAAUACGUAGGGGGCAAGCGUUAUCCGGAUUUACUGGGUGUAAAGGGAGCGUAGACGGCGAUGCAAGCCAGAUGUGAAAGCCCGGGGCUCAACCCCGGGACUGCAUUUGGAACUGUGUGGCUGGAGUGUCGGAGAGGCAGGCGGAAUUCCUAGUGUAGCGGUGAAAUGCGUAGAUAUUAGGAGGAACACCAGUGGCGAAGGCGGCCUGCUGGACGAUGACUGACGUUGAGGCUCGAAAGCGUGGGGAGCAAACAGGAUUAGAUACCCGAG